UGAAUACGAGACGCUAAGGCGUCGAAGUAGUGUAUGUCAUACUUCCAAGAAAAGCUUGCACUGUCAUAAGUAAAAAAUGCCUGUACCAUAACCGACACAGGUGGGUAGGUAGAGUAUACUAAGGGGCGCGAGAUAACUCUCUCUAAGGAACUCGGCAAAAUAACUCCGUAACUUCGGGAGAAGGAGUACCUUAUUCUAUAAGGUUGCAAUAACAAGAUCCAAGCAACUGUUUAUCAAAAACACAGGUCUCCGCUAAGUCGUAAGACGAUGUAUGGGGGCUGACGCCUGCCCAGUGCCAGAAGGUUAAAGAAGUCGGUUAGCAUUAGCGAAGCUGGUAACUGAAGCCCUGGUGAACGGCGGCCGUAACGAUAACGGUCCUAAGGUAGCGAAAUUCCUCGUCGGGUAAGUUCCGACCCGCACGAAAGGCGUAAUGAUUUGGAUACUGUCUCGGAGAGGGGCUCGGUGAAAUAGACUUGUCUGUGAAGAUGCGGACUACCUGCACCAGGACAGAAAGACCCUAUGAAGCUUUACUGUAACUUGAAAUUGAAAUUGGACUUUAUUCGCGCAGUAUAGGUGGGAGGUGUUGAUUAUAAUCUUGCGGGAUUAUUGGAGCCAUCAGUGAGAUACCACUCUUGUAAUGUUAGAUUUCUAACUUUGAAUCAUUAUCUGGUCAAAGGACAGUUUCAGGCGGGCAGUUUGACUGGGGCGGUCGCCUCCCAAACGGUAACGGAGGCGUACAAAGGUUUCCUCUGAACGGGUAGAAAUCGUAUCUAGAGUGUAAAGGCAUAAGGAAGCUUGACUGUGAGACCUACAAGUCGAACAGGGACGAAAGUCGGUCUUAGUGAUCUGACGGUACUGAGUGGAAAGGCCGUCACUCAACGGAUAAAAGUUACUCUAGGAUAACAGGCUGAUCUCCCCCAAGAGUUCACAUCGACGGGGAGGUUUGGCACCUCGAUGUCGGCUCAUCGCAUCCUGGGGCGGUAGUACGUCCCAAGGGUUGGGCUGUUCGCCCAUGAAAGCGGUACGCGAGCUGGGUUCAGAACGUCGUGAGACAGUUCGGUCCAUAUCCGGUGUAGGCGUUAGAAUAUUGAGAGGAGCCUUCUUUAGUACGAGAGGACCGAGAAGGACAUACCUCUGGUGUACCAGUUAUCGUGCCAACGGUAAACGCUGGGUAGCUAUGUAUGGAGUGGAUAACCGCUGAAAGCAUCUAAGUGGGAAGCCCACCUCAAGAUAAGUAUUCUC
rnacentral:rRNA from 1 species